rnacentral:rRNA from 1 species
CGAGCCUACCAUGCAAGUCGAGCGAGCUCUUCGGAGCUAGCGGCGGACGGGUUAGUAACGCGUGGGAACGUGCCCUUCACUGCGGAAUAGCCACUGGAAACGGUGAGUAAUACCGCAUACGCCCUUCGGGGGAAAGAUUUAUCGGUGAAGGAUCGGCCCGCGUUAGAUUAGAUAGUUGGUGGGGUAACGGCCUACCAAGUCUACGAUCUAUAGCUGGUUUUAGAGGAUGAUCAGCAACACUGGGACUGAGACACGGCCCAGACUCCUACGGGAGGCAGCAGUGGGGAAUCUUGGACAAUGGGCGCAAGCCUGAUCCAGCCAUGCCGCGUGAGUGAUGAAGGCCUUAGGGUCGUAAAGCUCUUUCGCCAGAGAUGAUAAUGACAGUAUCUGGUAAAGAAACCCCGGCUAACUCCGUGCCAGCAGCCGCGGUAAUACGGAGGGGGUUAGCGUUGUUCGGAAUUACUGGGCGUAAAGCGCACGUAGGCGGAUCAGAAAGUUGGGGGUGAAAUCCCGGGGCUCAACCCCGGAACUGCCUCCAAAACUCCUGGUCUUGAGUUCGAGAGAGGUGAGUGGAAUUCCGAGUGUAGAGGUGAAAUUCGUAGAUAUUCGGAGGAACACCAGUGGCGAAGGCGGCUCACUGGCUCGAUACUGACGCUGAGGUGCGAAAGUGUGGGGAGCAAACAGGAUUAGAUACCCUGGUAGUCC